UGCCAGCAGCCGCGGUAAUACGGAGGGUGCAAGCGUUGUUCGGAAUCAUUGGGCGUAAAGCGCGUGUAGGCGGUCGUGUAAGUCGGGUGUGAAAUCCCGGGGCUCAACCCCGGAACUGCACUCGAUACUGCUCGACUAGAGUCUCGGAGAGGAAGGCGGAAUUCCCGGUGUAGAGGUGAAAUUCGUAGAUAUCGGGAGGAACACCAGUGGCGAAGGCGGCCUUCUGGACGGUGACUGACGCUGAGACGCGAAAGCGUGGGGAGCAAACAGGAUUAGAUA
rnacentral:rRNA from 1 species